GAUGAACGCUAGCGGCAGGCCUAACACAUGCAAGUCGAGGGGUAGAAGUUGCUUGCAACUUUGAGACCGGCGCACGGGUGCGUAACGCGUAUGCAAUCUGCCUUGUACUGAGGGAUAGCCCAGAGAAAUUUGGAUUAAUACCUCAUAGUAUUACGAUGUGGCAUCACAAUGUAAUUAAAGUUCCAACGGUACAAGAUGAGCAUGCGUCCCAUUAGUUAGUUGGUAAGGUAACGGCUUACCAAGACGAUGAUGGGUAGGGGUCCUGAGAGGGAGAUCCCCCACACUGGUACUGAGACACGGACCAGACUCCUACAGGAGGCAGCAGUGAGGAAUAUUGGUCAAUGGGCGCAAGCCUGAACCAGCCAUGCCGCGUGCAGGAUGAAGCAUCUAUGGUGUGUAAACUGCUUUUGUACGGGAAGAAACACUCCUACGUGUAGGAGCUUGACGGUACCGUAAGAAUAAGGAUCGGCUAACUCCGUGCCAGCCGCCGCCGUAAAAC
rnacentral:rRNA from 1 species